CAAGGACAACUGUUGCAAGUUUGGAUUCAUCUACAGCACAGGCUGAAAGAGACACCCCAGUGAAUCAGGAGUAAGGCCUCAGUAGUGGAGAUACAGAAGAAGUGAUGUUUUUGUGAUGCUUUCAAAGCACCUAAGAAGUUGCUUCUGCAAUUAUUUUAAUUCAUGUGUCACCAGAUGUAAGUAGUUCUUGUGAUGGGCAACAAUUGUAAUGCUGUGUUAAACAGCUAUGUCUAACAAAAUUUCUUUCAUAGUAAAAUGCAAAUCGAGCUCCCUUGGGAGGUGGUAGUGGUUGAUGUAUCUCCUUUUGAAGCAAUAAACAAAAUUAACAACCUUA